rnacentral:rRNA from 1 species
GGAAAAAAGUACCACAGAGGGUGAAAGUCCCGUCUGGACUCAGUAACAAAAACGUUCGGUGCAUUUUCUUAGAGUCGCGUUCUUUGAGAUUGGAGCGCUAAUUGGGUGAUAAAUUUCAUCUAAAGCUAAAUACUAACGAGACUCCGAUAGCAUACAAGUACCGUGAGGGAAAGAUGAAAAGAACUUUGAAAAGAGAGUUAAAAGUGACUGAAAUCGCUAUAAGUGAAGCGGAGUGUUUGGGUGUCUAACAGUUCUUCCUGGCUGGUUUGCUGGCCAUGUUUUGUGCUUGUGGUGACUUUGGGAUAGAUCAUAGUUGGUGAAUAAAGGCAUAGGAAACUUUAGCUUGCUAUUGUUUCCUUAUUCUGGAUUUCAUUGACUUAGAUCUAGGUCUCUAAUAUUAGUCUGGCUAAUAUUAUAACAUCCCAAAGAGAUCCUUUCUCUCCGUCCCGUCUUGAAACACGGACCAAGGAGUCUAAUUUGCGUGCGAGUACAAGGGUGGAAAACCCACGUGCGAAACGAAAAUGAUUGUUAGGAAGGGUAACCUGCACUAACACCCAUCUAUCCAGAUGAGGUUGAGCACACAGAUUAGGACCCGAAAGAUGGUGAACUAUGCCUGAGUAGGGUGAAGCCAGGGGAAACUCUGGUGGAAGCUCGUA